rnacentral:rRNA from 1 species
GACGAACGCUGGCGGCGUGCCUAAUACAUGCAAGUCGAGCGAGCGGCGGACGGGUGAGUAAUGCCUGGGAAACUGCCCGAUGGAGGGGGAUAACUACUGGAAACGGUAGCUAAUACCGCAUACCAUCGGAUGUGCCUAGGGGGGAGUAGCUAGUGGGUGGGGUAAUGGCUUACCUAGGCGACGAUCCCUAGCUGGUCUGAGAGGAUGACCAGCCACACGUGAACUGAGACAAGGUCCAGACUCUUACGGGAGGAAGCAGUGGGGAAGAGUGGACAAUGGGCGCAAGCCUGAUGCAGCCAUGCGGCGUGUAUGAAGAAGGCCUUCGGGUUGUAAAGUACUUUCAGCGAGGAGGCGUUACUCGCAGAAGAAGCACCGGCUAACUCCGUGCCAGCAGCCGCGGUAAUUC